UGAAAUUAUGAGCACUCUCAAACUGCUGAGCAACCCAAGUAACCAUCCAGCAUUAACAUAAAUCAUAUAUUGGCUGGUAAUCAGCAUUCAACAGCACAUCAGUCAUAAAAUAGCUAUACUCAGAGCAAAUCAGCUCUAAAAGAACUGCUCUAAAAGCAGCUGAGAUAGUGCUAAUUUAUUGCUGCUACUAGCAACACUGCUAGAAUUUUAUAUCUACAAACUGGCAACGCGGGAUUGAGUUGCACAAGAGCGAAUGAGAGAGCACUAUAAAACAGAAACAAAAGUAAUUCUUACUCUCUCAUCCAUUCAACAAAAACAAACCAGUGGUGAAGAAGAAUGGCAAAAAUCUGAGGAUUUAUUUUGUGCUUGGAAAACUAUAAGAACUGGUUUUGUACCUGUUAUUUUACCAAAUAGACCGUUCCGAAGGCGAACAGAUCCGCGGACCAAUCCGGUGCAAAAAUAUGUGGAAUGAAGUUUCCUUGCUCAUCCUGGAGCAUCCGGCUUGGUGUAACUGGUCUUCGGAGGAUGUGCAGACGAGAAGUGGCGAGGUUUUGGUCAUGUUUUGACUAAAAAAUCGGAACAGGUCGAACCGAGACUUUGUCGGAGACGAUGCCGGAUACCUUCAGCGUUGGACAUUGCGGAAGGAUUUAAAGUCUGGAAUGUCCAGUUCUGUGCUUCAAGACCAGCAGUAAUGGAGUGUUCGCUAGGUUGCAGGUCCAGGAGAAGUAUUGGCCGUAAAAAGCAUCAUUUUUAUUUAGUGUUGGAUGAUUCUAAAUAGUGCAUUAAUUAUCGAAUAAUAAAUUGAUUUGAGUUGUA